GAUGAACGCUGGCGGCGUGCCUAAUACAUGCAAGUCGAGCGAACAGACGACGAGCUUGCUCCUCUGACGUUAGCGGCGGACGGGUGAGUAACACGUGGAUAACCUACCUAUAAGACUGGGAUAACUUCGGGAAACCGGAGCUAAUACCGGAUAAUAUAUUGAACCGCAUGGUUCAAUAGUGAAAGACGGUUUUGCUGUCACUUAUAGAUGGAUCCGCGCCGCAUUAGCUAGUUGGUAAGGUAACGGCUUACCAAGGCGACGAUGCGUAGCCGACCUGAGAGGGUGAUCGGCCACACUGGAACUGAGACACGGUCCAGACUCCUACGGGAGGCAGCAGUAGGGAAUCUUCCGCAAUGGGCGAAAGCCUGACGGAGCAACGCCGCGUGAGUGAUGAAGGUCUUCGGAUCGUAAAACUCUGUUAUUAGGGAAGAACAAAUGUGUAAGUAACUAUGCACGUCUUGACGGUACCUAAUCAGAAAGCCACGGCUAACUACGUG
rnacentral:rRNA from 1 species